UACGUAGGGUGCAAGCGUUGUCCGGAAUUAUUGGGCGUAAAGAGCUCGUAGGCGGUCAGUCGCGUCUGCUGUGAAAACUCGGGGCUUAACUCCGGGCCUGCAGUGGGUACGGGCUGACUAGAGUGCGGUAGGGGAGACUGGAGUUCCUGGUGUAGCGGUGAAAUGCGCAGAUAUCAGGAGGAACACCGGUGGCGAAGGCGGGUCUCUGGGCCGUAACUGACGCUGAGGAGCGAAAGCGUGGGGAGCGAACAGG
rnacentral:rRNA from 1 species